AUGGCCUGGGUCCCUCUCCUUCUUCAUCUUCUCUCUUUCUAUGCAGGUUCUGUGCAUUCCUAUGAGCUGACCCAACCACCUUCAGCAUCAGUCACUGUAGGAGAGACUGUCAAAAUCACUUGCUUUGUGGAUCAAUUGCCAAAAAAAUAUGCUCACUGGUUUCAGCAAAAGCCAGACCAGACCAUUUUGCCACUGAUAUAUGAAAAUAGUAAGCGACUGUCAGGGAUCCCUGACCGAUUCUCUAGGUCCAGUUCAGGGACAACAGCCACACUGACCAUCAGUGGAGUCCUAUCUGAUGAUGAGGCUGACUAUUACUGUUUGUCAUCAUACAGUGAUAGUAAUAGUGGUGCAAGACCCCUGAAGAGACCACCAGAGACACAACUUUCCAAAAUGAAAAAGCAAGGUUUCUUGAAGCAGUUCAAGCAGCUGCAGGGACCUUAUUCAGCCAUCAAACACAGUAGAGGCUGGAGGAGUUGCCCGUCCCUUCUGCAAGCUCAGGUUUUAAAGGCAAAACCCUUAACGGACACAACAGACCCAGCAGUGGGGACACUGUGGUCCCUUGGGCAGCCUCAGGCAGGAAGUGACACUCGGGCUUCUGAUGGCACAGACACCUAA